rnacentral:rRNA from 1 species
CGCUGGCGGCGUGCUUAACACAUGCAAGUCGAACGAUGAUCCCAGCUUGCUGGGGGAUUAGUGGCGAACGGGUGAGUAACACGUGAGUAACCUGCCCUUAACUCUGGGAUAAGCCUGGGAAACUGGGUCUAAUACCGGAUAUGACUCCUCAUCGCAUGGUGGGGGGUGGAAAGCUUUAUUGUGGUUUUGGAUGGACUCGCGGCCUAUCAGCUUGUUGGUGAGGUAAUGGCUCACCAAGGCGACGACGGGUAGCCGGCCUGAGAGGGUGACCGGCCACACUGGGACUGAGACACGGCCCAGACUCCUACGGGAGGCAGCAGUGGGGAAUAUUGCACAAUGGGCGAAAGCCUGAUGCAGCGACGCCGCGUGAGGGAUGACGGCCUUCGGGUUGUAAACCUCUUUCAGUAGGGAAGAAGCGAAAGUGACGGUACCUGCAGAAGAAGCGCCGGCU